UGGGGAAUAUUGCACAAUGGGCGAAAGCCUGAUGCAGCAACGCCGCGUGAAGGAAGAAGGUCUUCGGAUCGUAAACUUCUGUCCUAGGGGAAGAAGAACUGACGGUACCCUUGGAGGAAGCCCCGGCUAACUACGUGCCAGCAGCCGCGGUAAUACGUAGGGGGCAAGCGUUAUCCGGAAUUAUUGGGCGUAAAGAGUGCGUAGGUGGUUCUUUAAGCGCAGGGUUUAAGGCAAUGGCUCAACCAUUGUUCGCCCUGCGAACUGGAGGACUUGAGUGCAGGAGAGGAAAGCGGAAUUCCUAGUGUAGCGGUGAAAUGCGUAGAUAUUAGGAGGAACACCAGUGGCGAAGGCGGCUUUCUGGACUGUAACUGACACUGAGGCACGAAAGCGUGGGGAGCAAAC
rnacentral:rRNA from 1 species